ensembl:lncRNA
CAGCAAUGGCAAUGACUUCAUAACAAACCCUGCUAAUGAAUAAAUCAUCCUAAUUUCAAGGCAAAGUUAGCACAGCCAUCCACUGUGUCAUUUCCAUGAAUCACAGCGAUAAAGGGCCAUGCUUGUUGAGACAUUGCUUAUGCAAAUGCAGUGCAGCACUAAUGAAUGUAAGCAAAGUUCUGCAGUGCCAGGACAAGGCAAGCUUGUGCCAAAGCUCCCAGGAAGCGGCUGCUGCUUUGUCCGGAGGAAUAAGUGAUGGGCUGAGGAGAGGCUGCAGGAGUUUGCCUCUGUCCUGUGCUGAUACUGCUGAUCCCAGAUUUACUGGCUCUUCGUUUCAUAAGGAGUUGAAAUGAAACAUGGAAACAAAAACAGAUGGAGACGGGCAAGUCCCAGCACUAUUAAGCAGCAGCUACAAGUGAGGCAACAAAUAGAGCUAUCCUGAAGAAUUCGAGAUACUGAAA